rnacentral:rRNA from 1 species
AAUGAACGCUGGCGGCGUGCCUAACACAUGCAAGUCGAACGGUGAAGGAGAGCUUGCUCUCCGGAUCAGUGGCGAACGGGUGAGUAACACGUGGGCAACCUGCCCCAGACUUCGGGAUAACGCUUCGAAAGAGGUGCUAAUACCGGAUACGAACUCCUUGGGCAUCCUUGGAGUUGGAAAGUUUUUCGGUCUGGGAUGGGCCCGCGGCCUAUCAGCUUGUUGGUGAGGUAACGGCUCACCAAGGCGACGACGGGUAGCCGGCCUGAGAGGGCGACCGGCCACACUGGGACUGAGACACGGCCCAGACUCCUACGGGAGGCAGCAGUGGGGAAUAUUGCGCGAUGGGCGAACGCCUGACGCAGCAACGCCGCGUGAGGGAUGACGGCCUUCGGGUUGUAAACCUCUUUCAGCAGGGAAGAAGCGAAAGUGACGGUACCUGCAGAAGAAGCACCGGCUAACUACGUGCCAGCCGCCGCCGUAA